rnacentral:tRNA from 1 species
GCGGGGGUCGCCAAGCCAGGUCAAAGGCGGGAGGCUCAAGACCUCUUCCCGUAGGGGUUCGUGGGUUCAAAUCCCACCCCCCGCA